AUUAAAUGCUUUUCAUCCUUUUCCAUUUAUUUCUCUAGAGCGAGAAUCUAGAUGAGAAAGCGAAGCGCCAACAGAUGGAGCAGCUGGUCAGAGAGGAGCUGCAGCGUUGGGAUUCGGAUCAGUCGCUCAACAUGCACAGAUAAGGGUGAUCUGGACUAUUUUUCCUUUCAAGAACCCGCACGAUUCGUUUUAGCUGUCACGUUGCACACGAGGAUAUCUUUCUGACCCGUUGCACGAAUCGCAAGAAUGAUGAAGACGUUCCUUUUCUCACAGAAAUGAAUCUCUAUUUUACCAUCUUGUUUCUUGUACGAGUGUCUGCAGGAUCUUAACAGCGGAUAUCAAGAACUAAAGAAAUGCACACCUUCUAAUGAUGUGAAUCAAUGGAACUCAUGUAGAUAUUUAUUGCACAAUUAAUUUUACACGUAUUUUUAAAUAUAUUAUGAAAUCCUAAGUUCUGCAAUUUGUCCAGCAAUAAUGCAUAUUUCAGUUAUUGUCGAGAUGAUUCAGAAUGCCGAUUUUUAAUGUGCAAUAAAAUUUGUGCUUGGGACACAAAUUAAAUAAUCAUCAGUUAUUUGAUUAUAUAAUCGGUCACCGCGUUAAAAGAUUUUAAACUGAGCCAGAUGAAUAAAUAUUACACAACAUCACUAAUUUAUUACAUCAUGUAGUGUUUCAAGUUUCUGUAAGCGAAACUUCACUUGAAGCAGACAGAAGUACAAUUGUAUUAUGCUACUACAUUGUUUCUGUAUCCGUGAUGUAGUAAUUUAUUAUUUUCAGAUUUGUAUAUAGUGUACAGAUAAUGAAAAUCUUAGAUGUCCAAAUAAAAUUAUAUUCGUCAAGA